UGGGGAAUAUUGCACAAUGGGCGCAAGCCUGAUGCAGCCAUGCCGCGUGUAUGAAGAAGGCCUUCGGGUUGUAAAGUACUUUCAGCGAGGAGGAAGGCGUUGUGGUUAAUAACCGCAGCGAUUGACGUUACUCGCAGAAGAAGCACCGGCUAACUCCGUGCCAGCAGCCGCGGUAAUACGGAGGGUGCAAGCGUUAAUCGGAAUUACUGGGCGUAAAGCGCACGCAGACGGUCUGUCAAGUCGGAUGUGAAAUCCCCGGGCUCAACCUGGGAACUGCAUCCGAAACUGGCAGGCUAGAGUCUUGUAGAGGGGGGUAGAAUUCCAGGUGUAGCGGUGAAAUGCGUAGAGAUCUGGAGGAAUACCGGUGGCGAAGGCGGCCCCCUGGACAAAGACUGACGCUCAGGUGCGAAAGCGUGGGGAGCAAACA
rnacentral:rRNA from 1 species